GACGAACGCUGGCGGCGUGCUUAACACAUGCAAGUCGAACGAUGAAGCCUAGCUUGCUAGGUGGAUUAGUGGCGAACGGGUGAGUAAUACGUGAGUAACCUACCUUUAACUCUGGGAUAAGCCUGGGAAACUGGGUCUAAUACCGGAUACGACCAAUCUCCGCAUGGGGUGUUGGUGGAAAGCGUUAUGUAGUGGUUAUAGAUGGGCUCACGGCCUAUCAGCUUGUUGGUGAGGUAACGGCUCACCAAGGCGACGACGGGUAGCCGGCCUGAGAGGGUGACCGGCCACACUGGGACUGAGACACGGCCCAGACUCCUACGGGAGGCAGCAGUGGGGAAUAUUGCACAAUGGGCGCAAGCCUGAUGCAGCGACGCCGCGUGAGGGAUGACGGCCUUCGGGUUGUAAACCUCUGUUAGCAGGGAAGAAGAGAAAUUGACGGUACCUGCAGAGAAAGCGCCGGCUAACUACGUGCCAGCAGCCGCGGUAAUACGUAGGGCGCGAGCGUUGUCCGGAAUUAUUGGGCGUAAAGAGCUUGUAGGCGGUUUGUCGCGUCUGCUGUGAAAGGCCGGGGCUUAACCCCGUGUAUUGCAGUGGGUACGGGCAGACUAGAGUGCAGUAGGGGAGACUGGAAUUCCUGGUGUAGCGGUGGAAUGCGCAGAUAUCAGGAGGAACACCGAUGGCGAAGGCAGGUCUCUGGGCUGUAACUGACGCUGAGAAGCGAAAGCAUGGGGAGCGAACAGG
rnacentral:rRNA from 1 species